rnacentral:rRNA from 1 species
GUGCCAGCAGCCGCGGUAAUACGUAGGUGGCAAGCGUUGUCCGGAUUUAUUGGGCGUAAAGGGAGCGCAGGCGGUGACUUAAGUCUGAUGUGAAAGCCCACGGCUCAACCGUGGAAGGUCAUUGGAAACUGGGUCACUUGAGUGCAGAAGAGGAAAGUGGAAUUCCAUGUGUAGCGGUGAAAUGCGUAGAUAUAUGGAGGAACACCAGUGGCGAAGGCGACUUUCUGGUCUGUAACUGACGCUGAGGCUCGAAAGCGUGGGGAGCAAACAGGAUUAGAUACCCUGGUAGUCC